rnacentral:rRNA from 1 species
CCCUUAGAUGUUCUGGGCUGCACGCGCGCUACACUGAUGCGCUCAACGAGUUUAUGACCUUGCCCGGAAGGGUUGGGUAAUCUUUUCAAAACGCAUCGUGAUGGGGAUAGAUUAUUGCAAUUAUUAAUCUUCAACGAGGAAUUCCUAGUAAGCGCGAGUCAUCAGCUCGUGCUGAUUACGUCCCUGCCCUUUGUACACACCGCCCGUCGCUCCUACCGAUUGGGUGUGCUGGUGAAAUGUUCGGAUCGGCCGUUUGUCGCGGUUUCCGCGGCUCGUGGCUGAGAAGUUCAUUAAACCCUCCCACCUAGAGGAAGGAGAAGUCGUAACA